rnacentral:rRNA from 1 species
ACUGUGACCCCAGGUCAGGCGGGACUACCCGCUGAGUUUAACAUAUCAAUAAGCGGAGGAA